rnacentral:rRNA from 1 species
AUUGAACGCUGGCGACAGGCCUAACACAUGCAAGUCGAGCGCGAAAGUCUUCGGAUGAGUAAAGCGGCGAACGGGUGAGUAAUGCAUGGGAAUCUGCCUGGUAGUGGGGGACAACGUCUCGAAAGGGACGCUAAUACCGCAUACGCCCUACGGGGGAAAGGGGGGGAGUCUUCGGACCUCUCGCUAUCAGAUGAGCCCAUGUCAGAUUAGCUAGUUGGUGAGGUAAAGGCUCACCAAGGCGACGAUCUGUAACUGGUCUGAGAGGAUGAUCAGUCACACUGGAACUGAGACACGGUCCAGACUCCUACGGGAGGCAGCAGUGGGGAAUAUUGGACAAUGGGGGCAACCCUGAUCCAGCCAUGCCGCGUGUGUGAAGAAGGCCCUAGGGUUGUAAAGCACUUUCAGUGGGGAGAAAGGUUAUUCACCUAAUACGUGAGUAGAUUGAUGUUACCCACAGAAGAAGCACCGGCUAACUCCGUGCCAGCAG